GGACUCAACGCCGGGCAGCUCACCGGAUAAGACAGCUGGAUGAUAGCCGGGCUGAAGACUCUGCUUGACUAGCUGAGAGGAGGUGCAUGGCCGUCGUCAGUUCGUACUGUGAAGCAUCCUGUUAAGUCAGGCAACGAGCGAGACCCACGCCAACAGUUGCCAGCAUGUCCUCCGGGAUGAUGGGGACACUGUUGGGACCGCCUCUGCUAAAGAGGAGGAAGGAAUGGGCAACGGUAGGUCAGCAUGCCCCGAAUUAUCCGGGCUACACGCGGGCUACAAUGGUCAGGACAAUGGGUAUCGACACCGAGAGGUGGAGGCAAUCUCCUAAACCUGUCCUUAGUUCGGAUUGUGGGCUGCAACUCGCCCACAUGAAGCUGGAAUCCGUAGUAAUCGCGUUUCAAAAUAACGCGGUGAAUAUGUCCCUGCUCCUU
rnacentral:rRNA from 1 species